UAGGGAAUCUUCCGCAAUGGACGCAAGUCUGACGGAGCAACGCCGCGUGAGUGAAGAAGGUUUUCGGAUCGUAAAACUCUGUUGUUAGAGAAGAACAAGUGCUAGAGUAGCUAUUAGCGCCUUGACGGUAUCUAACCAGAAAGCCACGGCUAACUACGUGCCCGCAGCCGCGGUAAUACGUAGGUGGCAAGCGUUGUCCGGAUUUAUUGGGCGUAAAGCGAGCGCAGGCGGUUCCUUAAGUUUGAUGUGAAAGCCCCCGGCUCAACCGGGGAGGGUCAUUGGAAACUGGGGAACUUGAGUGCAGAAGAGGAGAGUGGAAUUCCAUGUGUAGCGGUGAAAUGCGUAGAUAUAUGGAGGAACACCAGUGGCGAAGGCGACUCUCUGGUCUGUAACUGACGCUGAGGCUCGAAAGCGUGGGUAGCAAACAGGAUUAGAUACCCUGGUAGUCCACGCCGUAAACGAUGAGUGCUAAGUGUUGGAGGGUUUCCGCCCUUCAGUGCNGCAGUUAACGCAUUAAGCACUCCGCCUGGGGAGUACGAACCGCAAGGUUG
rnacentral:rRNA from 1 species